rnacentral:rRNA from 1 species
UCGAGCGGAACGACACUAACAAUCCUUCGGGUGCGUUAAUGGGCGUCGAGCGGCGGACGGGUGAGUAAUGCCUAGGAAAUUGCCUUGAUGUGGGGGAUAACCAUUGGAAACGAUGGCUAAUACCGCAUAAUGCCUACGGGCCAAAGAGGGGGACCUUCGGGCCUCUCGCGUCAAGAUAUGCCUAGGUGGGAUUAGCUAGUUGGUGAGGUAAUGGCUCACCAAGGCGACGAUCCCUAGCUGGUCUGAGAGGAUGAUCAGCCACACUGGAACUGAGACACGGUCCAGACUCCUACGGGAGGCAGCAGUGGGGAAUAUUGCACAAUGGGCGAAAGCCUGAUGCAGCCAUGCCGCGUGUAUGAAGAAGGCCUUCGGGUUGUAAAGUACUUUCAGUUGUGAGGAAGGGGGUAGUGUUAAUAGCGCUAUCUCUUGACGUUAGCAACAGAGGAAGCACCGGCUAACUCCGUGCCAGCAGCCGCGGUAAUACGGAGGGUGCGAGCGUUAAUCGGAAUUACUGGGCGUAAAGCGCAUGCAGGGUGGUUCAUUAAGUCAGAUGUGAAAGCCCGGGGCUCAACCUCGGAACUGCAUUUGAAACUGGGUGAACUAGAAUACUGUAGAGGGGGGUAGAAUUUCAGGUGUAGCGGUGAAAUGCGUAUAGAUCUGAAGGAAUUACCAGUGGCGAUAGGGGCCCCCCUGGACAAAUACUGACACUUCAUAUGCGAAAUCGUGGGGAGCA